GAGAUGCCGGUGGGGAGCCCCUACUUGCGGUGUGAGGCCCUCAGGGUUCAAGUGGCACCCUGACCGCUGCCCCCAUGGCUGUGCUGUUGUUCAUGAGGAUGAAGGGCCUCCUGGGAGCCUCCCUCUCAGCGUAGUCCAUGUCCAGAGGAGGCAGGGUCGGGUCCCAAGAGCCCCUGCCUGGCCCCUCACUACCACUCCACCGCUUGGGCAAGGGUCUGGCGGAGCCCAUCCCUCAGUCACUCACAUUCGGUGGGGCUGGCGGGGCACACCCUCUGGGAGGGUUAUUUGUAUAUUUAAGGGGAGAGAAGGGCCUGCAUAUCCUCCUGCCUGUCCCCAGCACCUGCCCCUCCAGCUGCUCCAGCCCGUCCUCCCCUUGGUGCCAUGUGCCUGCCCAAUCCCCCAGGAGCCUCCGCCUCCAGCCAGCAGGUGAGGCGCUCACACUGCCACCCCGGCCUGCUCGGUGAGUACAGGAGGCGCCUCGGCCUAUGUCACCCAUCCGCAGCUCAGGGUGUGGGCGGGGCAGCACCAACAUGGCUUGGGUCAAGAAUGAGGGUGACAUGCACAUGACAGGCUGGGGUAGCCUGCAGGUCAGACGUGGCCUCCUCCCAUCCCAGCCCCCACCCAAAGCUUCCCUCCCCAACGGCCCUGGCAUUCGUCCUGCGGUGGCCAAUGAACAGGACAACAGGACGGAGGGGGGGGGCACUGCACACUGGGCACUGACCCUCUGCACGCCACCAGCGCUGGGCACGGCAGCCAGGGCACGGUAGUCCAGCUUCAGGGGCUGCAGACCCCGACCCUGGGGGCAGAGUGGACACAGCACUAGCAGGAGCAGCUCCACGGCGGCACCCGGCCAGCACAGGGCAUGAGAGGGGGUCCUGGGGGUUACUACCCCGCACCCCACAGGCAAUGUGCACCCCACUCCAGUGCCCUGAUGGGAGGAGGAGGGACAACCACACUCACCGUGGCUUCUGUGGCCUCGGGCCCCCAGCGCAGGGUCUGUCCAGGCGGCUCCUUCUCCUGUGAGCAGAGCAGACCUGUCAGGCACCACCGGCCUCGGGCUCCCUGGCCCGGGGGCUGCCAGCUGCAGGCACCUCUGACCUUGCCUGGGCCCUCGGGGCUUAGCUCCCGAUCGAUGGAAGAGAUGCUCUCCAGGCUGUUCCGGUGGCUGACGCCUGCCGCAAAGGGGUUGGCAAUGACACCUGGGGACACCUGAGAAGAGGGUGUGGGCUGAGAAGUGGGGACUGCAGCCCGGGGUCCCACCUCUGGGGCAGGAUGGGGCCCCAGCCCAGAAUAGCCAGCAACAGUGAACACAGGAGCUGCAUCCCUCGGCGGGGCUGACCGCAUGGCUGGGAUAGCCUCGGAGGGCAUUCCACUGGACCCCCCAGGAUGCUGCGGUACUGUCCCCGGUCCGUCCCCAUCACAGCUCACAGGGCUGCCGUGGACGUGGCCAUGUCUGCACUAGGCGAGAUUGUGAAGUAGCAUGAUGCCUGCCACUUUGCUGACUACGUAAAGUCACCCCCAGGAAGAACUGACAGCCACCAAGAUGGGGGAAGGAGGGGCGUGAGUAGUGGAUGCUGGCACUGAUGGCACAGUGGCCCCCUCAGGUGGCAAGGCUGGCUCCAGACCCCAGCAUGAGUGCUGGGCAGGGAUUCUGGAACAAAGGACACCACGCAGGAGGCCUGGCCAGCUCUGCACUCUACAGAGCUCAAUGACCUUCCCAAGCCAGUGACUGGCAGGGUGGAGGGAGAGUCUAGAAAGGAAAGGCGCCCAGGAAGCUCAGGCAGGGCAGAAGAGGGCCAAGGAGACAGGACCAGGACAGGCAGGGGCUUCUGGCUGGACACAAGAUGUACUUGGAUCCUGAGCCUGGGUGAACACGGGCAGAUGGAACCAUGGGAAGAGCUCGCUUCCAAGCCCACAGCGGGCAAUGGGACGGCUUCAAGCCCCCACCACCAGCAGCAGCCAGAAGAGGCCGAGGAGGCAGCAGAGUGGAGACGGGCACUGUUCAUCACCCUCAUCACGGACGGGGUCCCUGCGAAAUCAAGGCGCUCUCAGUGUGGCCUGAGGGACAAACCCAGCCCUAUGCUGUUGCUGGUUAAAAACACAAGUGAAAUGGAACAACCUCGGGGAUGACUGGCAUGUCCCCUCACCCCCUAGCUCUGGCCCCCGGGAGGUCCUGAGACGAUGCCCCAAGAACGCUAGGUCCAGGGCCAGAGUGCAGCUUCUAAGUGUCACCCUCCGCUAAAAGGAUCCAGCGCUCCUGAGAGAAAUGGCCGACUCCAGGGCGGGGCAGGGCAAGGAGAGAAGCCCAGCACAUCCUGGAGGCUGGAGGCAGAAGAAAGAAAUGGCAGAAUAAACCAAAAUGAAUAAAGAUGGUGGCCUCGGAACAGAGAGAUGGAGGCUGGUCUUCUGAAGUGACUCUAUAUAAUUUCAGCUUUGGAACCAUAUGAAGAUUUACACAAUUAAGAAACAGAUUUUUUGUGGUGGCAGAAGCCUGUAAUCCCAGCUACUUGGGAGGCUGAGGCAGGAGAACUGCUUGAACCCGGGAGGU